rnacentral:rRNA from 1 species
AGAGUUUGAUCCUGGCUCAGAGCGAACGCUGGCGGCAGGCUUAACACAUGCAAGUCGAGCGGGCGUAGCAAUACGUCAGCGGCAGACGGGUGAGUAACGCGUGGGAACAUACCUUUUGGUUCGGAACAACACAGGGAAACUUGUGCUAAUACCGGAUAAGCCCUUACGGGGAAAGAUUUAUCGCCGAAAGAUUGGCCCGCGUCUGAUUAGCUAGUUGGCGAGGUAACGGCUCACCAAGGCGACGAUCAGUAGCUGGUCUGAGAGGAUGAUCAGCCACAUUGGGACUGAGACACGGCCCAAACUCCUACGGGAGGCAGCAGUGGGGAAUAUUGGACAAUGGGCGCAAGCCUGAUCCAGCCAUGCCGCGUGAGUGAUGAAGGCCCUAGGGUUGUAAAGCUCUUUUGUGCGGGAAGAUAAUGACGGUACCGCAAGAAUAAGCCCCGGCUAACUUCGUGCCAGCAGCCGCGGUAAUACGAAGGGGGCUAGCGUUGCUCGGAAUCACUGGGCGUAAAGGGUGCGUAGGCGGGUCUUUAAGUCAGGGGUGAAAUCCUGGAGCUCAACUCCAGAACUGCCUUUGAUACUGAAGAUCUUGAGUUCGGGAGAGGUGAGUGGAACUGCGAGUGUAGAGGUGAAAUUCGUAGAUAUUCGCAAGAACACCAGUGGCGAAGGCGGCUCACUGGCCCGAUACUGACGCUGAGGCACGAAAGCGUGGGGAGCAAACAGGAUUAGAUACCCCCGUAGUCC